rnacentral:rRNA from 1 species
UACGUAGGGGGGCAAGCGUUUGUCCGGAAUCAUUGGGCGUAAAGAGCGUGUAGGCGGCUCGAUAAGUCUGCUGUGAAAGUCCAGGGCUCAACCCUGGAAGGCCGGUGGAAACUGUCGGGCUAGAGUCCGGAAGAGGCGAGUGGAAUUCCCCGGUGUAGCGGUGAAAUGCGCAGAUAUCGGGAGGAACACCGGUGGCGAAGGCGGGUCGCUGGGCCGAUAUCGACGCUGAGGAGCGAAAGCGUGGGGAGCGAACGGAUUGAGAA